GGAGGAAAGAAACCAACAGGGAUUGCCUCAGUAACGGCGAGUGAAGCGGCAACAGCUCAAAUUUGAAAUCUGGCCCUUUCAGGGUCCGAGUUGUAAUUUGUAGAGGAUGCUUCGGCGAGGGCUCCCGUCUAAGUUCCCUGGAACGGGACGUCAUAGAGGGUGAGAAUCCCGUAUGUGAUGGGUUGCUCGAGCCAUGUGAAGCUCCUUCGACGAGUCGAGUUGUUUGGGAAUGCAGCUCUAAAUGGGAGGUAAAUUUCUUCUAAAGCUAAAUACCGGCCAGAGACCGAUAGCGCACAAGUAGAGUGAUCGAAAGAUGAAAAGCACUUUGGAAAGAGAGUUAAAAAGUACGUGAAAUUGUUGAAAGGGAAGCGCUUGCAACCAGACUUGUCCGCAGUUGUUCAGCCGGUCUCCUGACCGGCGUACUCUUCUGCGGCCAGGCCAGCAUCAGUUCGGGCGGCUGGAUAAAGGCCUCGGGAAUGUGGCUCUCUUCGGGGAGUGUUAUAGCCCGGGGCGGAAUGCAGCCAGCCUGGACUGAGGAUCUCGCUUCGGCAAGGAUGCUGGCGUAAUGGUUGUAAGCGGCCCGUCUUGAAACACGGACCAAGGAGUCUAACAUCUAUGCGAGUGUUUGGGUGUCAAACCCAUACGCGUAAUGAAAGUGAACGGAGGUGGGAACCCGCAAGGGCGCACCAUCGACCGAUCCUGAUGUCUUCGGAUGGAUUUGAGUAAGAGCAUAGCUGUUGGGACCCGAAAGAUGGUGAACUAUGCCUGAAUAGGGUGAAGCCAGAGGAAACUCUGGUGGAGGCUCGCAGCGGUUCUGACGUGCAAAUCGAUCGUCAAAUUUGGGUAUAGGGGCGAAAGACUAAUCGAACCAUCUA
rnacentral:rRNA from 1 species